UCUCAAGUUCCUUAAUAAUCCUUCACUGAGAAGACGCUGAUUGGACUUUGUGUGAUUUGUCACUAACGUUUCUGCAUAACCAGGACUUGAAAUACCCUGGAUGCUCCUAUCCCAA
rnacentral:snoRNA from 1 species